rnacentral:rRNA from 1 species
UACGAAGGGGGCGAGCGUUGUUCGGAUUUACUGGGCGUAAAGGGCGCGCAGGCGGCUCAUUUUGUCAGGCGUGAAAGCCCCGGGCUUAACCUGGGAACUGCGUUUGAUACGGAUGGGCUAGAGUUCGGGAGAGGAGAGUGGAAUUCCCAGUGUAGAGGUGAAAUUCGUAGAUAUUGGGAAGAACACCUGUGGCGAAAGCGCUCUACUGGACCGCGACUGACACUGAUGGACGAAAGCUAGGGGAGCGAAUGGG